AUGGCAUCUGCCCAAGGAUCUGGGUGGGGGGGCUCCUGAUCCCAGUGUCUUCCCACCAUUAGGAUGAGGAGGUUUCUUUGCUAUUUCUAAAUGCCUACACCCUUUAAAUGGUUGCCAGGUUAGUUCCCCACUCUCAGGACUUGAUAACAUAAACAUUUUCUGAACCAUUAUCCAUGCCAUCAUCCAUCCAUCCACUCACUCAUCCACCCAUUCACUCACUCAUCCACACAUCCGUCAUCUAUCCAUCACCUACCCAACCACUCAUCCACCCAUCCACCCAGCCAUCCAUGCAUCCACCAUUGCCACUCAUCCACCCAUCCUUCCACAUGCCCACCUACCCCUACCCACUCACCCUACACUCCCCCAUCUACCAAUCUGUCUGCCCACCCCUAUGCACCUAUCCACUCAGCCUUUUAUGUACCUACCCUUUCAUCCUGCCAUCAAUCCAUUCAUCUAUCCAUCCACUCAAUUCACUCAUCCACCUACCCACCCAUUCAUGCAGCCGUCCAUCAACCCUUCCUCUCAUUCAUUUAUCCUGCCGCAUGCCCACCCAUCCCUACCCAUUCAGCCACCAUCAGGGAUACACUCAUCCCUCUACCAAUCCAUCUGCCCACCCAUCCACCCGUCCAUCCACCAAUCCAUUCAUUAACUCACCUAUCCUUUCUUCCAUGUCUCUAACAAAAACAGAUACUGGACACUUUUUAUGUGCCAGGGAAAGUCCAGACAUUUCUCUGUGCCUCAGCUUCCUCCCCAAUAAAAUAGGGAUAAUAAUAGUAUCACAGGGUUGAUCCUGGCCCAGAGUAAGGGCUGUAUAAGAAUUUUCUACUAUUAAUCUUAUUAGGCACUGGAGAUGUAAAGGUAAAUAAAACAUAGUUGGUGCUCCAUAAAAAAUCACAGUCUUUGGUGGCGAAAGGAGAUACAAGAAAAUUGGCGUUACAGUCCUAUGUGGGAUGUACUCUAUUAUAGGGAAGUAUAAGGGACUGUGGGAGGUCAGAGCUGUGGCAUCUCGUCUCAUCUGUGACUCUGCUUGUGAGGUAGGUCAGGACAGGAAGUAUUGUUAUCAGUCUCCCUGUGUGACAAAUGAAGAAACUGAAGCUUAGGAACGCCAAGGGACCACCCAUGACCCCACUCCCGCAGAGCCAGCAGGACUGAAUGCUGCGUCUUCUGAUUUGGGGACAUCCCAGCCGUGAGGGCCACGCCCUCCCUGUCCCCUCCAGGCAGCCAGCUGAGGCUGCCCCAAAGCCACCUGACUCCUGCCGCGUGAGCAGCCCUUCAUGGUCCAGAUCCCAGAGGAAGACCACGGCUGAGCGCAAAGGGGCCAGCCGGAGCCCCCACCCAUUCUGAGCCCCCUUCACGUAAGGUAAAGAGGAGCAGUGCCCAGAUGUGAUGGGCCAGCUCAGGAGACUGGAAUGGGGGAGGGGAAGGCGGAUCCGUUUGGUCUUUGGAAUGGAUGCCCGAGCAGUGAGUUGCUGACUAUGCUACGGGAGGCGACCCCAAUGGUAGAGGUGGGUCAACCCCCGGAAGCUACAGGGCAGCACGUGUGAUCAUUUAUCGCUAUAACGCUCAGAUCCUAACGAGCAGAACUGCCCCCGGCCAGGAGGCUGUUCCCUUCUCCCCAAAAGUGUGAAAGUAGUAGAGAAAGCAGAGUAUGGUAGGAGGGCGGCUUUGGAGCGCUUCAGGCCCAGGUUCAAAUCCAGCAUCGCCUAACACUAUCUGUAUGAUCUCAGGCAAGUCACUGAACUUCUCUGAGGCCGGUCUGAAAAAUGAGACUAAUACACCCCCGUCCCAAUGUUCUGGGACAGUUAAGUCAUAAUCACCAAUACUUAUAAUGUGCUUACCACAUCUUCCUCACAACAAACUCGUACGAUGGUCUUUUAAUAUUUUUGUAAAUUAAGUUUUUAUUUUGGAGUGAUUUUAGAUUUACAGGAACAUUGCAAAGGUAGUACAGAGAGUUCCCGUCAACCCCUCCCCCAUUCCAGAAACACUGGGCUGGUCCUGGGUUCCACACUCUCUCACUGAAUGGCACGGGCAGGCUGGCUCCCAGGCUCUGCAUCCACGUUCUGCUUCCCCCAGGGUCGCAUCCAGGAGCCAGCGGAGAGGAAGCUCCUGGAGAGUGCCUUAUGCAGAGCAGAGACUGAUGGAACGGUCCUGGAUGGCGACAGUUCUGUCCAGGCUGGCUGUCUCAUCGUGCUUACCAGAGGCACACAUCACUUAGCCUCCAAAUGUGUUAGGCCCCCACUGUGUGCCCGCCCCAUCCCGGAGGGGCUCUGCUCUGGGCAGCUCAGCGCCUGGAGGAGUGGUCAGCAGAGGCCACAGCCAGUGACAUCAGGCGUGCCUCUGGAGGACCGGAAGCCCGAGUCUGGGAGGUCAUGUGACUGCUUACGUCAGUGGUCCAUCCGUGGCAGAGCCCAGAGUCACCUGCCAGGCUGCCCGACUCCCAAACCCAACCUGAACCCAGCACAUCUUUCCAGAGACAGAGCCGCCCAGGUUCAGUGGGAGCGAGAAGGAAGCAUUAAGUGAGCACCUACUGUGUUCCUGUGAUCAAAUUUAACCUUUACAACUGGCGUAGCUGGCUGGUCUGAUUAUUCCUAACGUAGAAACGGGGGCUCAGAGAGGGUCAUCAGCUUCCCUGUUGCACCUGGUAGAGCAGGACUGCUGCCCUGGGGGGAUUAUACCUGGCAGCAGAACCAGAACAUUCGCAGACUGGAGCCACUUUCUCUGAACAUGUGUGUGUGGGGGGGGUGGGAUCUGGCUGCUCACGCCUGCCCGGUUGUGUGCAUCUGUGAGUGUGUGAGUGUGUGGAUGAGUGUGGAAGCAAAUGUUUGCCUCCUUCUUCCCACUGACCCCAGAACAGCUCUGCUCAGAUCUGAGCAGUGCAAGAGGAGCAGCCAGGCUGUGUGUGUGUGUGUAUUUGACCAAGGAUGGGGGCCUUUGUCUCCUGGGCUCUGUACCCCAGGGCGAUUGGUGGGGAGGGGGCAUGGGGGGGCGUGGUGGAGCCACCUUGGAAGGCCCAAGCGCUGGGAGUGGGGAGGAAGGCAGGGUGGCCCAUUAAUGCUGCCCUCCUGGUGGGGGGGCAGAUAAGUGGCCCCAGGGGGCUGUGCUGAAGACCCUCUAACUAGCUUGUUGCCAUGGGGACACUGGCUAUGAAUACAGGCCUGGAAGUCCAGCUCGAGCCUUCCAACCCCUCCCCUCCCUGGCAGGUGGAGACCCCCAACUGGGGUGUGUUUGUCUGGGAAGGGGACUGAAGGGCCAUCCCAUCUACCCCCUCUAUUAUUUAAAGCAAAGGCCUCUGUUCCUUCUGCUGCCCAUCCACGAGAGCUCUCCCGGGUCAAGGGAGAAAAGGACUUUCUCUGACUUCCUGGGGCAACAGUGGGCCUCAGGAUUCGGGGUUAGCUUCCUGUUUCCUCAGAUCUGGCAGGUGACUCGGGCAGGAAGAGAAACACAUGUGGUCACACAGCUACAAGAGUGUUGCAGACAACACAGCCAGCGCCACUGGGAGCCCAGACCUCUGCUGGCCACGGGGACACUGAGGGGCGGAGGACUUGCCCCAGUUUAUCUGAGAACCACCAACUCUCCUAUCAUGGGGUGAGGAAUCAGAACGCUGAGGGGGGGGUUGUUAAUGUUUUUAUUUAGAAAAAUUUCAAACAUUAAAAACGAGGUAGAAGUUUCGUGAAUCCUAAGUGCCCGUCACUCAGUUACAACACUUACCAGCUUUGCCCAUCAUGUUUCAUCUCUUCCUUCCUUCCUUCCUUCCUCCCCUCCUCCCUUUCCUUCCCUUUCCUUCCCUUUCCUUCCCUUCCUUUCCCUUCCUUUCUUUCUUUCUUUUUCUUUCUUUCUUUCUUUCUUUCUUUCUUCUUUCUUUCUUUCUUUCUUUCUUUCUUUCUUUCUUUCUUUCUAUCUUUCUUUCGUGGUUGAAAGCAAAUACCAGAGAGCAGGCUGUUUCAUGUGGAAAUACUCCAGAAUGUACUUCUCACUGCUGACCAUGCCAUGAUCACAUCUAACAAAACAAACAGUAACCUCAGUGGUGAAGAUGAUCUGCAUCUCGGUCUAGCUGCAGAUCCAGUACUAAAUAUGUGGACCUCUGCUCCACGGAUGAAUCGAGGCCAUGUGGCAGGGGCGGCUCUGUGCUAUAGCUUUGGAGCCCCAAGAAAGCAAUGGGUGAAUGCCUGUGGCUUUGCGGGGGUUAUUUUGCUUUAUGGGGCCUCAGUUUCCUCCUAUGCCAGAGGAACUUACUUACCUCUUCCAAGACUGUUGGGAGGAUCGAAUGAGAUUAUAUGUAUACAGUACUGGGCGCACAGUGGGGACUCAGUAAAUGGCAGUGAUCGUGUUGCCUCUAGAGGAAACUGAAGUUCAGAGAGUGACUUGCCCAAGGUCACACAGCUCAGAGUAGUGAGUCUGGCUUGGAAGCAUAGGUCUUCUAAGUAUGCUGGGAUGUCCAUUCAACACAGGCUCCCCUCACUCCCCUCUGAUCCUGCCCCUGCUCAUUACCACCCCGCACUACAUAUGGAAACGACACAGGGGGUGACUUUAACAGGUCCCUUUUUUCUUUCUUUUUUUAAAGAUUUAUUUAUUUAUUUAUUAGAGACAGCCAGCAAGAGAGGGAACACAAGCAGGGGGAGUGGGAGAGGAAGAAGCAGGCUCCCAGCGGAGGAGCCUGAUGUGGGGCUCGAUCCUGGAAUGCCGGGAUCACACCUUGAGCCGAAGGCAGACGCUUAACGACUGUGCCACCCAGGUGCCCAAGGUCCCUUUUUUUCUUGAACGAGUGGGUCAGUCAUGGUGGCAUAAGCUGAGCAGGUGAUGGGACGCCAGCAGACCUAGCUCCGAGACACCUAGAACAAGACUCUUCCCCUCCCUGGGACUCAGUUUCACCAUCUGUACCAGGAGAGCCGUGACCUCUGCAUGGUCUCCAAGAGGUCUUCCAGUUCUACUUUGUCUCCGUGAGGGUUAGUAACCCUGGGAAUGUGGGGGAUAUUUGAGAUUGCUAGGGGCAUUCACAGCAGUCUGAGACCCCAGGCUAUAGGACUGGGGGAUAGUGAGGGAGAACAUUCUGUAUUGGGGAGCAGAAAAGGAGUGACCCAGCUUAGUAGAAUUGACGCUCUCCCCUCUUCCUGGGUUGUGGGCUCCCGAAACCGGGUCUGUGACUUGCUGAUUGUAAGUACCAAGUAGGUGAGAUAAAAUUCCACUGAUGUAAUGGACAGAACUAGAUAGAAGAUCAGCAAGGAAACAGAUGAUUUGGAAAAUACUCCAGACCAACCAGGCCUAACAGACAUUAUUUUCAAAUAGUGAUCUACUAGAAUAUUCCACCCAGCAACUGCAGAAUACACACUCCCAAGUGCUCCUGGGAUGUUUUCCAAGAAAGAGCAUAUCUUAGGCCAUGAACCAAGUCUCAAUAAGUUUAAAAAGAUUGAAAUCAUACAAAGUACAUUCUCGGACAACAGUGGAAUAGAAUUAGAAAUCGAGAACUGAAGGAAAUUUGGAAAAUUCACAAAUAUGUGGAAAGGAAACAACACACUCCAAAAAACCCGAUGGAUCGAGGAAGAAAUCACAAGGGAAGUGAGAAAAUACUUUGAGAUGAAUGGAAACAAAAAUAUAACAUUCCAAAGUGUAUGAGAGGCAGGGAAAGCAGUCCUGAGAGGGAAAUGUAUAGCUGUAAACACCUACAUUAAAAGAGAAGAUCUCAAAUCAGUGGCCUAACUUUCUACCCUACUAGAAGAAGAGCAAACCAAAUCCAAAACAAGCAGAAGUAUGAAAAUCAUAAUGAUUAGAGUGGUGAUAAAUGAAAUAGGGAAUAAGAAACAAUAGUGAAAAUCAACAAAACCAAACGGUUCUCUGAAAAGAUCAACAAGAUUGAUAAACCUUUAGCAAGACUGGCCCAGGAAAAAGGUGAGAAGCCCCAAAUUAUUAAAAUCAGGAAUGGAUGCAGAGACAUUACUACUGACCUUACAGAAGUGGAAAGGAUUAUAAAAUGUUACCGACGGAGAGGUUCAGAAGAGGCUCCACACCCUUUCCAGAGAUACGAGAAAACAGUAGUUGCCUUCAGGGGGCGGGAGGCGGAGGAAGGACAUUUGCUUUUCAUUAUAAGACCUCCCGGGCUGUUUUUGGUAAAAGUUUUUAUUGUAAAAUAUAACAUACGUACAGAAAAGCGAAUAAAAAGAGAAGCACUCAGCUCAGAAAUUUGUCACCAAUGAAACACCCGUGGAACCUACCACCCAGGCAAGACUUAGAACAUUGCCGCCUGCCCAGAUGGCCCCCUCCUCUCCUCACCCAACCCCUCGCCCCCCAGAUAGAGCCACCCUCCUGACUUUUAUGGAGAGUACUUCCUUGCUUUCCCUGAUAGUUCUGCCAUCUCUAAACACUAUAGUUUGGUUCAGUUCAUGCUUUGGGCUUCAUAUAAACCAAACCACACAGCAGAUCCUCUUUUGGGUCUGGCUUCUUGCAUUUAACAUGACGUGUGGGAGGUUCACCCGCAUUGUUGCAUGCAGUAGUGCGCUCAUUUUUUUUGCUGUGUUGUAUUC